GACGAACGCUGGCGGCGUGCUUAACACAUGCAAGUCGAACGGUAAGGCCCUGCGCUUGUGCUUUUCUCGAGUGGCGCACACGUGUGUAAAACGCGAGUAACCUGUCCCUGACUGUGGGAGAACAUCAGGGGACAGGGGAUCAAAUCCGAUAUGAGCUCCUGCUGCAUGGUGGGGGUUGGAAAGAUUCGGCGGUUGAGGAUGGACUCGCGGCUUAUCAGCUUGUUGGUGAGGUAGUGGCGUACCAAGGCUUGGACGGGUAGCCGGCCUGAGAGGGUGACCGGCCACAGUGGGCCUGAGAUAGGACCCAGACUCCUACGGGAGGAAGCAGUGGGGAAUAUUGCACAAUGGGCGGAAGCAUGAUGGAGCAUCGCCGCGUGCGGGAUGACGGUCGUAGGGGUAGAAACCGCGUUAGCCUGUGACGAAGCGUGAGUGACGGUAAUGGGUAAAGAAGCAACGGCUAACUACGUG
rnacentral:rRNA from 1 species